GACGUAGGGCGCGAGCGUUGUCCGGAUUUAUUGGGCGUAAAGAGCUCGUAGGCGGCUUGUUGCGUCGACUGUGAAAACCCGCGGCUUAACUGCGGCUUGCAGUUGAUACGGGCAGGCUAGAGUUCGGUAGGGGAGACUGGAAUUCCUGGUGUAGCGGUGAAAUGCGCAGAUAUCAGGAGGAACACCGAUGGCGAAGGCAGGUCUCUGGGCCGAUACUGACGCUGAGGAGCGAAAGCGGUGGGGAGCGAACAGG
rnacentral:rRNA from 1 species